rnacentral:rRNA from 1 species
UACGAAGGGGGCUAGCGUUGCUCGGAAUCACUGGGCGUAAAGCGCACGUAGGCGGAUCUUUAAGUCAGGGGUGAAAUCCUGGAGCUCAACUCCAGAACUGCCUUUGAUACUGAGGAUCUUGAGUCCGGGAGAGGUGAGUGGAACUCCGAGUGUAGAGGUGAAAUUCGUAGAUAUUCGGAAGAACACCAGUGGCGAAGGCGGCUCACUGGCCCGGUACUGACGCUGAGGUGCGAAAGCGUGGGGGAGCAAACAGG